UCUGCCUACUCCACAAAUAAUAGGCAGCGGUCCGCUGAAAUAAAGGAGGAUAAACCCGUCUGACUCACGGUAUGGCAGUGUGGAGACCUGUCAUAAAGCCCCCGGAAUGUUACUUUCCGGACGGUGAGAACGCACGCGAAAAUGGUAGGUGCGUUUAGAGUCGAAAACAGUAUGGCA
rnacentral:ncRNA from 1 species